UACGUAGGGUGCAAGCGUUGUCCGGAAUUAUUGGGCGUAAAGAGCUCGUAGGCGGUCUGUCGCGUCGGCUGUGAAAUCCCCGAGGCUCAACCUCGGGUCUGCAGUCGAUACGGGCAAACUAGAGUAUUGCAGGGGAGACUGGAAUUCCUGGUGUAGCGGUGAAAUGCGCAGAUAUCAGGAGGAACACCGGUGGCGAAGGCGGGUCUCUGGGCCGAUACUGACGCUGAGGAGCGAAAGCGUGGGGGAGCGAACAGG
rnacentral:rRNA from 1 species